GGGCGUGGGUGAUCUUAAUGUUUUUUGAGACAUGGUAAAUCCCAACCUAUCUCUUUCCAUUGUCGUUCCAGAUCUGGCAACCUCCUUAACUAAAUCCCAACCCAAUACUACUUGGUUGGGUGGUUAUUUGCUAUUUAUAAUUAAAUUUUGUCAACAUGGUCUCUCUCUUCUACAUGGUUACAUUUCCCUUGUUUUGACUAAUGAAAAUAAAAAGGCGGGAGCGCAAAGAAAAACUCCUCGACCAGCAUUUUGUCUUCUUUUUUUUCCUUUUUAUGAAGAACAUUGGAGUGACAUUCUUUGUAUUAUCAGUUGUGUCGGUGGAAGCUUGAAAAUAUAGGAAUAUAUGUGUCCUCUCCUUUAAGGUUGUGUUUUGCAGAAUAUGUGGUGAAUGGAGGGUUGCAUUCAUGGAGUCAUCUGAUUUAUUAGAGUGGACUUUAUAGACUAUUGUAAGUUUGUUGAAUGAUAAUGGCAUUUUCAAUCACACCAGUACCACUUCAGCAUUGCAGAUGCAGGACUAGAGAUGCUACUAUUUUUGUGUCAUAACUAUGCCAUGUAACUAAGAUACAUCUUUGUUUGUCCUUUUAGUGGAAAAUAUA
rnacentral:lncRNA from 1 species